rnacentral:rRNA from 1 species
UUCCGGUUGAUCCUGCCGGAGGCCAUUGCUAUCGGAGUCCGAUUUAGCCAUGCUAGUUGCACGGGUUUAGACCCGUGGCGACAAGCUCAGUAACACGUGGCCAAGCUACCCUGUGGACCGGAAUAACCUCGGGAAACUGAGGACAAUUCCGGGUAACGCUCCCCUAUUGGAAUAUGGGGAGCUGGAAAUGCGUUAUGCGCCACAGGAUGCGGCUGCGGCCGAUUAGGUUGACGGUGGGGUAACGGCCCACCGUGCCCAUAAUCGGUACGGGUUGUGAGAGCAAGAGCCCGGAGACGGAAUCUGAGACAAGAUUCCGGGCCCUACGGGGCGCAACUGGCGCGAAACCUUUACACUGCACGACAGUGCGAUAGGGGGACUCCGAGUGCGAGGGCAUAGAGCCCUCGCUUUUCUGUACCCUAAGGUGGUACAAGAAUAAGGGCUGGGCAAGACCGGUGCCAGCCGCCGCGGUAAUACCGGCAGCCCAAGUGAUGGCCGAUAUUAUUGGGCCUAAAGCGUUCGUAGCUGGCCAGACAAGUCCGUUGGGAAAUCCGCAUGCUUAACGUGCGGGCGUCCAGCGGAAACUGUCCGGCUUGGGACCGGAAGGCCCGA